rnacentral:rRNA from 1 species
CGUAACAGGUGUGCAAUCUGUCCUAUACCGGGGCAUAGCCCAGCGAAAGUUGGAUUUAAUUCUCCAUGUGAAGCGAUACCGCAUGAUAUUGCUUUAGAAACGUAAGGGUAGUAGGGUGAGCACGCUUCUGAUUAGAUAGUUGGUGGGGUAACGGCUCACCAAGUCGACGAUCAGUAGGGGUUCUGAGAGGAAGGUCCCCCACAUUGGAACUGAGACACGGUCCAAACUCCUACGGGAGGCAGCAGUGAGGAAUAUUGGUCAAUGGGCGAGAGCCUGAACCAGCCAAGUCGCGUGAAGGAUGAAGGUUCUAUGGAUUGUAAACUUCUUUUGUCCGAGGGUAAAAAAGGUCACGUGUGACUUCUUGCAAGUAUCGGACGAAUAAGCAUCGGCUAACUCCGUGCCAGCCGCCGC